UACGUAGGUGGCAAGCGUUGUCCGGAUUUACUGGGCGUAAAGAGCGCGCAGGCGGUCUUGCAAGUCGCGUGUGAAAGCCCCCGGCUCAACUGGGGAGGGUCACGCGAUACUGCUCGACUCGAAGGCAGGAGAGGGAAGUGGAAUUCCCGGUGUAGUGGUGAAAUGCGUAGAUAUCGGGAGGAGCACCAGUGGCGAAGGCGACUUCCUGGCCUGUUCUUGACGCUGAGGCGCGAAAGCGUGGGGAGCAAACAGG
rnacentral:rRNA from 1 species